CCUGGAAGCUCGCUAGUAGCAGCAGGUAACAGCUUCUGUUUAUGGUGUGGAAUGAUCCAGCUCAAAUGUGAAACAGAAAGAGAAGAACUAGCCAGAGGAGACAGGAAGUUUCACGUGGGCUUAGAAUAGAAGAGUCUGGAGGUGUGAGAUAGCAUCUGCCAUUGCAGCUCCUAAGCUCAACGUGUAGAGGACUGGCCUUAUACACGUCCUCCUCCUGUCUCAGACUCUGAAGUGAAGGAUUAUAGGUGUGCACCAUUAUGCUUGGUGAGAGUAGCCUUAGUGUUAGUUUACUUCGAGAACCUUUUGGACAGCUGAAGCAUGUGAGUCUCUCAAGUGACGCUCAGUUCUGCCAUCAGGACUUGGUGGAGCUGUCCUAGAGGUAAAGCGAGGAGGGAGGUGAAGCUCUAAGGGGUGGAGUCACAGGUUGAGAUUUGGGGAAAGUAACGGAAAUGAGAAAAGAAGAAAAAAAAUUAGACAAAGCUGGCCUCUUAGGAGAUGACUCCUAACAAACCUGUCAGAUUCUAGGAGGCAUCAGGAUACCCACUGCACUUGCUGUGUAUAGCUGCAUUUCUUGGUGAGUUUUAAAAAUAGUCAUAUUUGUUAUCACAGCAUCUCCAGAUAGAUCAGAGGCCUUUUGUUUGCUGCUUAAGAAACAGGAACAGAUGAAACUUCCUGAAGAUCAAAGACCAGAUUGUUGGCAGAAAAUGAUUAGCACCAGCCCGGUUUUCACUGCCGAAGCUCCUCCCCAGCAAGGUUCUUGUUACUGUGUUCUGAGUUAUGAGAAUAACUAGUCGUUCUUGAUGGGCGAGUUAGACUGUUAAGGAACGUGGGCAGUCUCCUCUGUGUGAAGUACCUGUCUGGAUCCCAGUGUGUGGCAUGGUGCCAUACAUUCAGGAUCGGUCUUUCCCUCUCAGCCAGUCUUCUUGGAAACACCCUCACAGGCAUAUCCAGAAGAGUGCUUGGCUAAUGCCCCAGGCAUUUACUAAUGCAAUCAAGUUGACAGAACUAAUCAACAUACCGAGAAAGAUGCCCGCCUUCAUAGCAGAGAGGAAAACCACAUCCCAGGGUUGUCAUUACACCACGACUGUAUGAAGCCAAAGGAGAAGCCAAUGCCCGUGAUUAGAAACCACAUUUUUCUAUUGAGAUUAAAUAAAGGAAACAAGGAAUGUUCUCUGAUCUACAAGGAAGGAAGGUGGAUGAUGAGAGCGUCCCUUCAUUUAAUUUUUUACAUCUUCUAUUGAAAAUAGAUUCUGUCAUUUUAUUUAAAGUGAGGAUUUAUUCAUUUUAGUAAUAAAAUGAAAUCUGUGAAAAUUCA